rnacentral:rRNA from 1 species
ACGUAGGACACAAGCGUUAUCCGGAAUUACUGGGCGUAAAGGGAGUGCAGGCGGUUGCGUAAGUUAGGCAUGAAAGACUUCGGCUAAACCGGGGGAGGUCGUCUGAUACUGCGUAACUAGAGUGUGGUAGAGGCGUGUAGAAUUCCAGGUGUAGCGGUGAAAUGCGUAGAUAUCUGGAGGAAUACCGGUGGCGAAGGCGGCAUCCUGGACCGACAUUGACGCUGAGGAGCGAAAGCUAGGGGAGCAAACGGGA